rnacentral:sRNA from 1 species
CCGGGAAACCCACUGUCGUUGAAAAGCCAGGGGAGUGACUUGUGGAUAGGGGUGAAAGGGCUAAUCAAACUCGGUGAUAGCUGGUUCUCCCCGAAAGCUAUUUAGGUAGCGCCUCGGACGAAUACCAUUGGGGUAGAGCACUGUUUCGGCUAGGGGGUCAUCCCGACUUACCAAACCGAUGCAAACUCCGAAUACCAAUGAGUACUAUCCGGGAGACAGACUGCGGGUGCUAACGUCCGUAGUCAAGAGGAAAACAAUCCAGACCGCCAGCUAAGGCCCCAAAAUUAUAGUUAAGUGGGAAACGAUGUGGGAAGGCAUAGACAGCUAGGAGGUUGGCUUAGAAGCAGCCACCCUUUAAAUAAAGCGUAAUAGCUCACUAGUCGAGUCGGCCUGCGCGGAAGAUGUAACGGGGCUAAAACUAUAUGCCGAAGCUGCGGAUUUGCAAUUUAUUGCAAGUGGUAGGGGAGCGUUCUGUAAGCCGAUGAAGGUGUAUUGAGAAGUAUGCUGGAUGUAUCAGAAGUGCGAAUGCUGACGUGAGUA